rnacentral:lncRNA from 1 species
UUAUUUUCCUGUAUAAGAACUCUAAAAUUGUGUAUAGGCAGAACUAUACCGAAUCAUAAUUUGCAUAUGUGGAAAUUUCUGAAAUUAUUAUUCCAUGUUCUAACCUCAUUUAAACUUGUGUAAAAUAUCAUGCAACUUCAUAUUAUCUUGUUGUAUCCAUGAUUAACAUGUUGUGACUCUCAUUUGCAUACAUUUCACAUUCAUGGCAUAUAGUGUUGUGAUGUUCUUAUCUUGUAU